UGUAAGCUUCUUUCUCCACAUCUUGCCCCGCUCCGCCUGCAGCCGGGGUCUCCGACAAAUUGCUGAGUGGCAUCUCCACCUUGAGGUGGACACUAACAAGUCAUGAGGGGUCUUGAGGACGAAUCCUAGCUUUCAGCCUGGGAGCAUCUUGAGGGUUUGCUUUGGUUGAAGGAGGAUCUUCUGGGAAAUUACCCAUGAAGGUCCUCUUGAGUUCCUGAGGACUUUGGCCGGACAGGAUUUGGAGCGGUUCUGAUCCCAACGCCAGUUGAGCCGUGGAAGAGUCGACGGACACCAAGGCACCAUGCCCACCCUGCCCGGCCUCAACAGCCUGGGCAAGCUGUGCAGCUCCAACCGCAGCCAGAGCGUCAGCCGCAGGCACAGCGCCACCCGCAGCCACAGCGUCAGCCGCAGCCACAGCGCCAACCGCAUCCGAGUUAAGCGCAAGAGCUCGGUCAAGCGGAUGUCCAUCAUCGAGGACGGGCAUGUGGCCGAGGUGCUUUACCUCAUCCCUAAACAGUACAUGGAGCUUCUCCCGUUCCUCAAUCCCAAUGACUAUUACCUAAGUGAGAGGCUGAACGAUGUUCCCUCAGUGGCUCAUGCGCAGGACACACACCAUCACUCCAAAGAGAAACCGCUCAUCCAGUGCCACAAGUGUGGGGAGCCAUGCAAGGGGGAGGUGCUGCGGGUGCAGAACAAGCACUUCCAUCUGAAGUGCUUCACCUGUAAAGUGUGCGGCUGUGACCUCGCCCAGGGGGGCUUCUUCAUGAAGAAUGGGGAAUAUCUGUGCACACUGGACUACCAGCGAAUGCAUGGCACCCGCUGCAACGGCUGCGGGGAUUUCGUGGAGGGGGAGGUGGUCACUGCUCUGGGAAAGACCUACCACCCGGCCUGCUUCGUCUGCACCAUCUGCAAACGUCCGUUCCCUGCAGGGGACAGGGUGACCUUCAAUGGGAAAGACUGUCUGUGUCAGUUCUGCGUGGAGCCCAUGUCUCCAGGACCCAAGGACAUCCCGGGCUCCAGCAAUUGUGCCGGAUGUGGGCGGGACAUCAAGAACGGGCAAGCUCUCCUGGCCCUGGACCGACAGUGGCAUCUGGGCUGCUUCAAGUGUAAAGCGUGCAGCAAAGUUCUGACCGGGGAAUACAUCAGCAAGGAUGGCGCCCCCUACUGUGAGAAGGAUUAUCAGAUCCACUUUGGUGUCCAGUGUGAGGCGUGCCAUCAGUUUAUAACAGGGAAAGUGUUGGAGGCGGGCGAUAAACACUACCACCCCAGCUGUGCGAGAUGCAGCAGAUGCAAUCAGAUGUUUACAGAGGGAGAGGAGAUGUAUCUGCAAGGGUCAACCGUGUGGCAUCCCAACUGCAAGAACACCACCAGGGCGGAGGAGAGACACAGGGAGAGGCUUUUGCCUCCGUCCCUCUCAUUUCUCCACAAAACAGAAAGGCAGCCCACGAGGUCUUCGUCCGAGAGUAUUUGCUCCAGACCGGGUUCAAGCAUACCGGGUUCACCGGGUCACACCAUUUAUGCAAAAGUAGACAAUGAGAUCCUUGAUUACAGAGACCUAGCUGCCAUUCCUAAAGUCAAAGCGAUUUAUGACAUUGAGCGCCCCGACCUUAUUACCUAUGAACCCAUGUACACCACCUCCCUGGAUGAAAGAGGGGAGAGGCUGGAGAGUGUGGGGGAGCUCCACACUGCCAGGAGGGAACGCUCCCCCAUGCCUGAUGACAAAUCUUCAAGAAUCAUGUCUCCGACCCCAUCCGGAGAGGUCUGUUACGACAGGAGGGAACGUAUCCUCCAGAGAUCCACCAGUCAGGGAUCCAUCGGCUCUCCGGUUUAUAAUCGCCAUGGUUACACCCCCACCCUGUCGCGGUCGCCGCAGCAUUUCCAUCGACCAGAGGCUCUGACAGGCAUGCAGAAGCUCUGCUCCUCCCUUUGCAGUAACAGUGUGGGCUCCAAAAAUAGUGACUCCCGGCCCACCUCCCCUUUCAGACACCACUUCCUCCCUCAUAGCCAAGGCCUCGACCCGCCGAGUGGCCGGAGCUCCCCCCUCCCGCUCAGGCCCGACAGCCGUCCGAUCACUCCGCCUCUCUGUCAGACCCCCAAACAUUUCCACCUCCCAGAUCAGGGCAGCAACAUCUACAGAAAGCCCCCCAUCUACAGACAACACGAUUCCGCUGCCGUAGCCCACCAAAGCAAGUCUGCAGACGAAAUCAUCCGAUCCGCCACCUUCCCUGCUGCCCAUGCUCCCACCCCGGAUGACAGCUGGUGGAGUGAGGCCGACUGUUGCCCCCGCUCUCUCACUCUUUUAGGCUCAGAGGGAAGGAGGCGCUCAAGAGAAGACGAGGAGGAGGAGGCUCUGAAAAGAAAGCAGCUCCAGGAGGAACAUCUUAGUAAGAUUCAGUCGGGGCUGGGAAAGCUCAUCCUCAAGGAGGAGAUGGAGAAACAGAAGAUCAGAGAGCGUCACGCUCGGAGCCUUUCUGCACAGCGCUGCGACUCCAAACAGAGCAACUGUGAUGCAGACCCUACAUCUCCAACCAAGACGAACUCUUUGCCUGGUUAUGGACGGAACGGGCUUCAUCGGCCUCAGUCCACAGAUUUCACUCAGUACAACAGCUAUGGAGACAUGUCUGGAGGAGGGAGAGCACAUAAGGGAUGGCCGUCCAGUUCUUGCAAGGAUGGACAGGGGAGUAUCUAUGCCUAAUAUGUUGGAACCAAAAGCAAGUAUCUUCUUCUCUAUGCACCACUGACAUGACUGUAGAUCUCUCCACCGAUUCAUUAACAUGAAGGCCAGAAGCAGAGUAGCAGAAACAUGUGGAGGAGGAGACUGUUCUGAUCCAGCAUGCUGCUUAAGGAGCUGCAGAGUCAUGCUAGCGCUCAGCAUGCAGGCUUCUCCAUGUUCAUCUGCACAAAGCUUGGAGUCCAGGCGGGUGGAUCCUGAAUGCCGCGUACAGAGAAAAGAUCCAACGUCCAAACAACUCGUAGCCCCACGCUGUGCAUAUGAGUUGCUUCACAGAAAGUCACAGAAAUGUUGUAAACAAAUUCAAUUUCUGGAGUAGGAUCGUUAAGGAGAGCGCCUGAAAUUUCCAGGACACUCAUUCCCAUUUGAACCACUAUAGAGAGGACUCUUAUUUUGAAGUUUGCUCUACAAAAACACACCUAGCGUUCUUCCUGAUGCAUGAAUCAAUGCAGAGGCAAAAACACCAUGACACCUGCAUUUCCCCCCAAAAAUCCACAGAAACAACCCAGUCAGCCUCCUGUCACAUACCUGCUGUCUCACCUGAUGUUUCCCACCUCACAGCCAGAAUGAGCAAAAUAAGCCAAAGCGGAUGCUUUUGUGUUCUGGCCUGUGCUUCUGACCUGCUGACUGACAGAUGUCUCCUUUUGAAGGUAUAUCCUUAUGAAAUGCUCAUGAUAACCAGUAGAGGGAGAGCUAAACUGCCCAGGGAUGUGGACAGAACCAGACUGGAGCGCCACUUAGCGCCUGAAACGUUCUUUGACCUCUUUGGGAUGGAGAUGGAGGAGUUUGACAGGCUUCCUCUAUGGAAACGCAACGACAUGAAAAAGAAGGCCAAGCUCUUCUAGGAGUUAGAGCAGCAUGCAUCCCAUCAUCCAUUCAGUCAGAGCGCACACAGCAACUGGAACCCAGACUCCGCUUUAUUUCCCUUUUAUUGGUUGUUUUCUCCUGAUAUAACUUACUGCUCCCUGAGGCCGUGAGCUGAAAGCCUGGACGUGUCCCACGAGCAACGACUGGAAUCUCUACCACGCUCAAAAAUGACAAUGAGAAUGGAUGAAGAGUUCUUUUGCUUUGUUUGACCUCUUGCUUUGUUUUGUUUCCGUGUUUCUUUCUCACUGGUUUUCUUGUUCCUGUAAUUAUUGUCAGACCUAGUGCCGCCCUUUUCAGACGCUUGUAGCUCACGUCGGCUUUCCUUUGCUUGGGCUGGCGUGUGUUUAGCCCAAAGUUAGCAAGAAUCGGCUCAGUGAGUCUUUGAAUUAAAAAAAGAAAAAGAGGCAAAGUCUCUGAGAAUGCAGUCAGGUAACUGAAUCUGCAUCCAGCCACUGGUAAACCACGUCACUUUCCCGCCUUUUUUCUUACCAAAACCUCUCUCUUCUCAGGCUUUCAUGAACACAGUUCAACUUUUCCCCUUUUGCAUUCAUUCUAUUUUAUCCAAACUGACACAGCCUGACCGACAGAUAAAAGCCCCAGUUUAAGGAACUGUAUUUAAAAGUAUUGUUUUUUAAAUAAACCCCACACUGCCAUUUGUUGUAUUGAAAUGAAAGCCAAUAAAUCUUUAAAUCACCAUGAA